rnacentral:ncRNA from 1 species
UGCUCCGGGGUCGGUGAAAAUCCGAACCGGCGGUAAAGUCCGCGACCCGCCUAUAUAGGCGGCUGAACCGGUGAAAUUCCGGUACCGACGGUUAUAGUCCGGAUGAGAGGCAG